UGUGUUUGAGUUUCCUUUAAUGAAGAUGAGAAAAUGCUGUAUUUCAUCUCCUUAAAAUAUUCUACAUUGUUGAUUCAUUGACUAUUGAUUUUUUUUUUUACUCAGACAUACAAAGCUCAGAGAAAUGUGAUACUGUGUAUUUCAGCAUGCCUUCUCUAUUGGUCUGUAUACCGCAUUUGCAAGUUUCAGAAGAUAUUCAAAGUAUGGAGGAAGUUGAGAAGAGAAUUAAGUCUAAGUAGAAUCUUCAUUUUACAAUCUAUAUAUUGUCAUGGUUAGUGGAAAAGAGCUUUUAUAAGAGAUAUUUAGUUGAGUCUCAGUUGUAUGAACAUUCCACUAUUGAUGUACCAAACUUUGCUCUAUGGCAUCACUAUCAGCUCUAUGUUUUUCAACUUUCAAUCUUCUUUUUUGUUUGUGUUGUGGUGUUUGGAUACACUCUUUUGACUCGUGUGCAGUGUAAUGAUUUAGCCUAUAUAUAGGUGACAUUUUUCAUUUUUA